AUUUGCAGCAGGCGCGAAAACUUUACAAUGCGGGAAACCGUGAUAAGGGAACACCGAGUGCCAGCAUCAUAUGCUGGCUGUCCAGAUGUGUAAACUACAUCUGUUAGCAAGGGCCGGGCAAGGCCGGUGCCAGCCGCCGCGGUAAUUCAAUCGGCGCUUAUUGGAACGAAAACCUACCGCUUUAGAGGAAUUUUGUGUCUCGUCUGGAUAUAUUCUCCCA
rnacentral:rRNA from 1 species